GGAAUUUUGGACAAUGGACGCAAGUCUGAUCCAGCCAUGCCGCGUGCGGGAAGAAGGCCUUCGGGUUGUAAACCGCUUUUGUCAGGGAAGAAACGCUCUGGGUUAAUACCUCGGGGUAAUGACGGUACCUGAAGAAUAAGCACCGGCUAACUACGUGCCAGCAGCCGCGGUAAUACGUAGGGUGCAGGCGUUAAUCGGAAUUACUGGGCGUAAAGCGUGCGCAGGCGGUUAUGCAGGACAGAGGUGAAAUCCCCGGGCUCAACCUGGGAACUGCCUUUGUGACUGCAUAGCUAGAGUACGGUAGAGGGGGAUGGAAUUCCGCGUGUAGCAGUGAAAUGCGUAGAUAUGCGGAGGAACACCGAUGGCGAAGGCAAUCCCCUGGACCUGUACUGACGCUCAUGCACGAAAGCGUGGGGAGCAAACAGGAUUAGAUACCCUGGUAGUCCACGCCCUAAACGAUGUCAACUGGUUGUUGGGAGGGUUUCUUCUCAGUAACGUAGCUAACGCGUGAAGUUGACCGCCUGGGGAGUACGGCCGCAAGGUUGAAACUCAAAUGAAUUGACGG
rnacentral:rRNA from 1 species